rnacentral:rRNA from 1 species
UACGGAGGAUGCGAGCGUUAUCCGGAUUUAUUGGGUUUAAAGGGUGCGUAGGCGGGCUGUUAAGUCAGCGGUCAAAUGUCGGGGCUCAACCCCGGCCUGCCGUUGAAACUGGCGGCCUCGAGUGGGCGAGAAGUAUGCGGAAUGCGUGGUGUAGCGGUGAAAUGCAUAGAUAUCACGCAGAACUCCGAUUGCGAAGGCAGCAUACCGGCGCCCUACUGACGCUGAGGCACGAAAGCGUGGGUAUCGAACAG